ACGAACGCUGGCGGCGUGCCUAAUACAUGCCAGUUGAGCGCUGAAGGUUGGUACUUGUACCAACUGGAUGAGCAGCGAACGGGUGAGUAACGCGUGGGGAAUCUGCCUUUGAGCGGGGGACAACAUUUGGAAACGAAUGCUAAUACCGCAUAAAAACUUUAAACACAAGUUUUAAGUUUGAAAGAUGCAAUUGCAUCACUCAAAGAUGAUCCCGCGUUGUAUUAGCUAGUUGGUGAGGUAAAGGCUCACCAAGGCGAUGAUACAUAGCCGACCUGAGAAGGGGAUCGGCCACAUUGGGACUGAGACACGGCCCAAACUCCUACGGGAGGCAGCAGUAGGGAAUCUUCGGCAAUGGACGAAAGUCUGACCGAGCAACGCCGCGUGAGUGAAGAAGGGUUUCGGAUCGUAAAACUCUGUUGGUAGAGAAGAACGUUGGUGAGAGUGGAAAGCUCAUCAAGUGACGGUAACUACCCAGAAAGGGACGGCUAACUACGUG
rnacentral:rRNA from 1 species